GUCGUCGUCGUCAUCAUCAUCAUCGUCGUCAUUGUCAUUGUCAUUGCUCUCUCCAUCACCUUUAGCUUCACCUUCAGAAUCCUCCUCUUCAUCAUCACUCCCUUCUUCUCCAGAUGAAUCAUCACCAUCAUCAUCCUGAUCAUCAUCACCAUUAUCACUAUCAUCCUCCUCAUUUUCACCAGCAUCCUUGCAUUCAGCAGAAGGCUUUUCCAAUCUAUUUAGUUCAGCCAAAGGAUACCUGCAAAGCAUUUCCACUAGCAUGACACUUUUUCAUACCUUAAUACUGAACAUUUAAUGUUGACUUCAAAACAAAAAAGAAUAAAUUUGUCUCUACCUCAUAUCAGUUGCAAUCAAAUCUGGUACAAUAUCAACAUAGUCUGGAUGAGAUCUCAUCUAAAAAUAAAAAUAUAAAACAAGUAAUGGCAGACAUAUGAUGCAUACAAGAACAGCUAAAAAUGCCAAAUAAAGAUUCUUGAAACUUCAUGAAAAGCUAAGACAUUCAAAACAUAAUUUUUUUUUUAAAAAAAGGCCCUUUUUUUAUAAAGGAAAAGGGUGUCCACUGGCAUGAGAAUCCCAUAUUGCAGACUUUGGGAAAGGUUAGGAGUCCAUAGCUUCCAUUAUUUGAGCACAUGAACCUCAAAUCAUGAAAGAGCAAUCUUACUAUUGCACAAUAGCUCACACUUAUUUCAUAGCAAAAUCGAUUGUAAUGAAAAUAAAUAAAGAUAACCCGCAUAUAGCAAGCAAAAAGAUCACUUCUAAUACAAGCAAGGAAAUAUAGUUAAAAGAGCAAUAAAAAGAAAAGAGCAAGGCUCAGUCGACACCAAACAGACCAUUCAGGUAGCAAUAUGAGAAAUAUUUGACAACUACAAACAUAUAUGUAAACCAAGGUUCUGCACCGAAAACUACAUUUAAUAAAUAGAAACCAAACUCAUCACACAGCAAAAGAGGUUGCAGCAAAAUGGCACGUAUAUACUUGAUCCAAUCUUAUAAAGUGAAUGAACUAUUUUCAUGCCCAAAUGAAAAUAGAUCCAACCUUACAUAUGUCAAGAACACUAGUAAAGCCCUCUUAAAUCAUUCAUUAAGUUUGUCAAUCUAGAAUCCCAAAAUUUUGUCAGAUGCCUGGUUUUUCAUUAUGCUUUCUAUUAAGAACUAUGAAAUUCGAAAUGAGAGCUAUAAAUCUAAAGAUUAGCGAUCCUUAAUUUAAUAAAACUAUAUAAUUAGUCAGAACAUGUUCCAAAGACAAAUGAUAAAGAAAAAUUGUCACAAAUCAUAGUGAAAGAUUUGGCUUUAGUUUUCUCAUGUCCCAAAAUAGAGAGGAAUAAAUGGGAAAAAAAUGUUUCAAUAUCAUCCAGUUCCCACAAUCUCAUCACAACAAAAAUAGCUAAGAACAGCUACAUUCCAAACCAACAGUAAUUAAGCAAAAUAGCCCAGUGCUUAAUUCAACAAAACGAAUUAAAAAGAAUAAUACCCCAUAAAUGUUACAGAAGGGAAAAACUCAAACAAAAACCGUGAAUGUCCCAACAAGUCUAGCAGCAUUUGAUAAAAACAAUAACUUUAAGAGAAAGUAGCAACACAGAAAGUGCUACUGCUUUACAAAGAUAAACUCGUAAUCAUAAAGUUCCUGUCUAUGGAAUUAUAUUAAUUUGUACAAACACGUUAUUAAUCACAAAAUGGUUCUCCAUAAGAGAUCCUUGCAUACAAAAUACCCUUUUCCUCAGAGAGCUAGCCAUCAAAGAAGACAUCCUUAAAAUCAAAUAAAAGCAUCAUAUCAACUCCUGAUAUUGCAACAAAAGAUGCAAAACACAAAGAUUAGAGACUAGAAUUUGGAGACAGAGCAAUGCAUCACAAAGAGGAGAGAAAGCAGAGACUUUUGAGCAAGCAGAGCAGUCUCCACCACCACAGAUUGCAGUAUUACAGCGGUGUGAAACGUUAUCCAUAUUUAUUGGUCUGUAUAUAAAUUUUCUUGAAAUCACCCAGCCAGAAGAUAGAGACACUGAGAGAUAGGGAGGCAUAGAGAGAGAAGCGCUUUUUUCAGCGAUCGGAGCAGGAAAUUUUUUUUGUAUCAUUAGGCAAGAAGACUCGCACACCGAACAGGGACAGAAAUGAUUGCAGG
rnacentral:misc_RNA from 1 species